rnacentral:rRNA from 1 species
GGAAUAUUGGUCAAUGGACGAGAGUCUGAACCAGCCAAGUAGCGUGCAGGAUGACGGCCCUAUGGGUUGUAAACUGCUUUUAUACAGGGAUAAAGUUCACUACGUGUAGUGUUUUGUAGGUACUGUAUGAAUAAGGACCGGCUAAUUCCGUGCCAGCAGCCGCGGUAAUACGGAAGGUCCGGGCGUUAUCCGGAUUUAUUGGGUUUAAAGGGAGCGCAGGCUGAUGAUUAAGCGUGACGUGAAAUGUAGCCGCUCAACGGCUGAACUGCGUCGCGAACUGGUUAUCUUGAGUGAGUUCGAUGUUGGCGGAAUUCGUGGUGUAGCGGUGAAAUGCUUAGAUAUCACGAAGAACUCCGAUUGCGAAGGCAGCCAACAAGGCCUUUACUGACGCUAAAGCUCGAAGGUGCGGGUAUCGAACA